AACGAACGCUGGCGGCAUGCCUAACACAUGCAAGUCGAACGAGACCUUCGGGUCUAGUGGCGCACGGGUGCGUAACGCGUGGGAACCUGCCCUUAGGUUCGGAAUAACUCCCCGAAAGGGGUGCUAAUACCGGAUAAUGUCUUCGGACCAAAGAUUUAUCGCCUUUGGAUGGGCCCGCGUUGGAUUAGCUAGUUGGUAGGGUAAAAGCCUACCAAGGCGACGAUCCAUAGCUGGUCUGAGAGGAUGAUCAGCCACACUGGGACUGAGACACGGCCCAGACUCCUACGGGAGGGAGCAGUGGGGAAUAUUGGACAAUGGGCGAAAGCCUGAUCCAGCAAUGCCGGGUGAGUGAUGAAGGCCUUAGGGUUGUAAAGCUCUUUUACCCGGGAUGAUAAUGACAUUACCGGGAGAAUAAGCUCCGGCUAACUCCGUG
rnacentral:rRNA from 1 species